UACAGAGGGUGCUAGCGUUGUUCGGAAUCAUUGGGCGUAAAGGGCGUGUAGGCGGUUUGUUAAGUCAUGUGUGAAAUCCCUCGGCUCAACCGGGGAACGACGCAUGAAACUGGCAAGCUAGAGUACCAAAGAGGGGGGUGGAAUUCCCGGUGUAGCGGUGAAAUGCGCAGAUAUCGGGAGGAACACCGGUGGCGAAGGCGGUUCUCUGGGCCUUACCUGACGCUGAGGAGCGAAAGCGUGGGGAGCGAACAGG
rnacentral:rRNA from 1 species